rnacentral:rRNA from 1 species
GGAUAACCGGGAGAAAUCCCGCCUAAUACAACAUAAUGCCGGGAGGGGACAUCCCCUGCCGGCCAAAGGGGGCGACCCCGGUCACGGAUGGGCAUGCGGCGCAUUAGGUAGUUGGUGGGGCAACGGCCCACCAAGCCGACGAUGCGUAGGGGUUCUGAGAGGAAGGUCCCCCACAUUGGAACUGAGACACGGUCCAAACUCCUACGGGAGGCAGCAGUGAGGAAUAUUGGUCAAUGGCCGGAAGGCUGGACCAGCCAAGUCGCGUGAGGGAAUAAGGCCCUACGGGUCGUAAACCUCUUUUGCCAGGGAGCAAUGCCGUCCACGUGUGGACGGAAGGAGAGUACCUGGAGAAAAAGCAUCGGCUAACUCCGUGCCAGCAGCCGCGGUAAUACGGAGGAUGCGAGCGUUAUCCGGAUUUAUUGGGUUUAAAGGGUGCGUAGGCGGCCUGCCAAGUCAGCGGUAAAAUUGCGGGGCUCAACCCCGUACAGCCGUUGAAACUGCCGGGCUCGAGUGGGCGAGAAGUAUGCGGAAUGCGUGGUGUAGCGGUGAAAUGCAUAGAUAUCACGCAGAACCCCGAUUGCGAAGGCAGCAUACCGGCGCCCGACUGACGCUGAGGCACGAAAGUGCGGGGAUCAAACAGGAUUAGAUACCCUGGUAGUCCGCACAGUAAACGAUGAAUGCUAGCUGUCCGGGGGGAUUGACCCCUGGGU